UCCUGAGGGUCAAACUAGGAGAGAGGUUCGUUAAGAAAGAAAUUGAACCGGAAUAGAAAUCCCUGAGGUUUGGAGAUAGCUACAUGGCCUAAAUUCCAGUAUUUGUGUGUCUCGCUGUAUUCUGAAACGAUUCCCUACAUUUCUUAUGGAGAAAGUAAGGCAGCGAGAAGUUCAGAAGCACUCCUGAACUUAACACAUCCAGCCUACAUUAUCUGGUCGUUGAUUUGUCUUUCUGUGGCGGAAGCUGAUCAUCUUUUCAUGAAUUUGAAGGUAACUGUGGAGGUGUGGUAACAAGAUGGUGCCGAGCAGCUGAGGUGAAGGCAGAGCCAGCUGGCCAGCUUGGCUGCACCACAAAAAGAGGAAGUAAUACUGGUUGGAGCCUAGCCAGUAAAGGACGUGUGAUUACCUCGUGAACAAUAUAUUAUACUAUGAGAAGAGCCUGCAUGGCAUAUGUGACCUCUAAGCUGAUCAGAUGAUGGCUUUCCCGCCUAUGCUAAUACCUGUGGCUUUUGCUCUUAAAUAUUGAUCAGCCUUGCCAGUAAAUGAGU